GAAGAUGUAACGGGGCUAAACCAUGCACCGAAGCUGCGGCAGCGAACGUAUCACCCAAGACAACUUUACGGAGUUGACGAUUGACGGAGCGAAGCGACGUCAAAGCGUUCAUUAAAGUCGAGUUGGCUUAGGGAUACGUUCGUUGGGUAGGGGAGCGUUCUGUAAGCCUGUGAAGGUGUGUCGUGAGGCAUGCUGGAGGUAUCAGAAGUGCGAAUGCUGACAUAAGUAACGAUAAAGCGGGUGAAAAGCCCGCUCGCCGGAAGACCAAGGGUUCCUGUCCAACGUUAAUCGGGGCAGGGUGAGUCGACCCCUAAGGCGAGGCCGAAAGGCGUAGUCGAUGGGAAACGGGUUAAUAUUCCCGUACUUGGUGUUACUGCGAAGGGGGGACGGAGAAGGCUAUGUUGGCCGGGCGACGGUUGUCCCGGUUUAAGCGUGUAGGUGUGUGUUCCAGGUAAAUCCGGUUCACUUUAACACUGAGGCGUGACGACGAGGCACUACGGUGCUGAAGCAACAAAUGCCCUGCUUCCAGGAAAAGCCUCUAAGCAUCAGGUAACACGAAAUCGUACCCCAAACCGACACAGGUGGUCAGGUAGAGAAUACCAAGGCGCUUGAGAGAACUCGGGUGAAGGAACUAGGCAAAAUGGUGCCGUAACUUCGGGAGAAGGCACGCUGACACGUAGGUGAAGUGAUUUACUCAUGGAGCUGAAGUCAGUCGAAGAUACCAGCUGGCUGCAACUGUUUAUUAAAAACACAGCACUGUGCAAACACGAAAGUGGACGUAUACGGUGUGACGCCUGCCCGGUGCCGGAAGGUUAAUUGAUGGGGUCAGCGUAAGCGAAGCUCCUGAUCGAAGCCCCGGUAAACGGCGGCCGUAACUAUAACGGUCCUAAGGUAGCGAAAUUCCUUGUCGGGUAAGUUCCGACCUGCACGAAUGGCGUAAUGAUGGCCAGGCUGUCUCCACCCGAGACUCAGUGAAAUUGAACUCGCUGUGAAGAUGCAGUGUACCCGCGGCAAGACGGAAAGACCCCGUGAACCUUUACUAUAGCUUGACACUGAACAUUGAGCCUUGAUGUGUAGGAUAGGUGGGAGGCUUUGAAGUGUGGACGCCAGUCUGCAUGGAGCCGACCUUGAAAUACCACCCUUUAAUGUUUGAUGUUCUAACGUGGACCCGUAAUCCGGGUUGCGGACAGUGUCUGGUGGGUAGUUUGACUGGGGCGGUCUCCUCCUAAAGAGUAACGGAGGAGCACGAAGGUUGGCUAAUCCUGGUCGGACAUCAGGAGGUUAGUGCAAUGGCAUAAGCCAGCUUGACUGCGAGCGUGACGGCGCGAGCAGGUGCGAAAGCAGGUCAUAGUGAUCCGGUGGUUCUGAAUGGAAGGGCCAUCGCUCAACGGAUAAAAGGUACUCCGGGGAUAACAGGCUGAUACCGCCCAAGAGUUCAUAUCGACGGCGGUGUUUGGCACCUCGAUGUCGGCUCAUCACAUCCUGGGGCUGAAGUAGGUCCCAAGGGUAUGGCUGUUCGCCAUUUAAAGUGGUACGCGAGCUGGGUUUAGAACGUCGUGAGACAGUUCGGUCCCUAUCUGCCGUGGGCGCUGGAGAACUGAGGGGGGCUGCUCCUAGUACGAGAGGACCGGAGUGGACGCAUCACUGGUGUUCGGGUUGUCAUGCCAAUGGCACUGCCCGGUAGCUAAAUGCGGAAGAGAUAAGUGCUGAAAGCAUCUAAGCACGAAACUUGCCCCGA
rnacentral:rRNA from 1 species